AUGGAGUUUGUGCUUGGCUGGGUUUUCCUUGUUGCUGUUCUAAAAGGUGUCCAGUGUGAGGUGCAGCUGGUGGAGUCUGGGGGAGGCCUGGCGAAGCCUGGGGGCUCCCUGCGACUCUCCUGUGCAGCCUCAGGAUUCAACUUUGGAAGCUACUACAUGCACUGGGUCCGCCAGGCUCCAGAGAAGGGACUGGAGUGGAUUGCAGCAAUUGGUAGUAGUGGAAGCACAUACUACGCAGAUUCCGUGAAGGGCCGAUUCACCAUCUCCAGGGACAACGCCAAGACAACAGUGGAUCUGCAGAUGAACAGCCUGAGGCUCGAGGAUACGGCCACGUAUUUCUGUGCGAAGGACACAGUGAGGGGACAUCACU